rnacentral:rRNA from 1 species
GAUGAACGCUGGCGGCGUGCCUAAUACAUGCAAGUCGAGCGAACGGACGAGAAGCUUGCUUCUCUGAUGUUAGCGGCGGACGGGUGAGUAACACGUGGAUAACCUACCUAUAAGACUGGGAUAACUUCGGGAAACCGGAGCUAAUACCGGAUAAUAUUUUGAACCGCAUGGUUCAAAAGUGAAAGACGGUCUUGCUGUCACUUAUAGAUGGAUCCGCGCUGCAUUAGCUAGUUGGUAAGGUAACGGCUUACCAAGGCAACGAUGCAUAGCCGACCUGAGAGGGUGAUCGGCCCCACUGGAACUUAGACACGGUCCAGACUCCUACGGGAGGCAGCAGUAGGGAAUCUUCCGCAAUGGGCGAAAGCCUGACGGAGCAACGCCGCGUGAGUGAUGAAGGUCUUCGGAUCGUAAAACUCUGUUAUUAGGGAAGAACAUAUGUGUAAGUAACUGUGCACAUCUUGACGGUACCUAAUCAGAAAGCCACGGCUAACUACGUG